AUGCAAAUUUCACCAUUCACAAGCAGAUAUAAAGACACUGCAAGGACACUGCAGUCUCUGUGUUUGGUUGUGUACAGCAGAGGAAUCAUGAGCUGGUCUUUUCUUCUUCUGAUAUCCUUUGUGCCCUAUGUGUGUUGCAUCAGUCUGACCUCGUCUCCUGAUCAGGUUAAACCUCCUGGAGAAACAGUGAAAUUGUCCUGUCAGAUUUCUGGUUAUGCCCUGACUGACUAUGGUACAGGCUGGAUCAGGCAACCUCCAGGAAAAAGCAUGGAGUGGAUCGGGAUCAUAUGGGGUGGUGGAAGCAUAAAUAAUGGAGCUUCCUUUAAAAGUCGGUUCAGCAUCUCCAGAGACACGAGCAGCAAUGUGCUAUACUUAGAUAUCAGCAGCCUGAAACCAGAGGACACGGCUGUUUACUACUGUGCAAAGACAGCCACAGCUAUACAACUCAGUGGGAGGGGCGUACAAAAACUUUAAAAAAAGCAUCAACUUCAAUACAAAAUGCAACGAUGAUCAAACUGACAAGUACACAUUAUAAUGAGAAUAAAGAGAAUAAUAAACUCUCUUUUACCAAUUCACAGUCAAACAGAUGCAAAGCCAAUAGACAGGGUUUUGUUUUGUCUUUUUUUUUGUGCUUAAAGUGGUGUGUCAAUUAUUUUUCUUUUUUUGUGUCUCUUUAAAAUAAGCAUCAAUAAUUAAACAGUGAAGUUUAACUAACAUACACAAUGCAAGUCGAACUAUUUCAAAGUCAAAUGCAUGUGCAAUUUUUCAUUCACGUCAUCAAAACCUAAUAAGUAAAAAUAUGCAGAAAU